UGCAAGUCGAGGGGCAGCAUGAUUGAAGCUUGCUUCAAUUGACGGCGACCGGCGCACGGGUGAGUAACGCGUAUCCAACCUUCCGUACACUCAGGGAUAGCCUUUCGAAAGAAAGAUUAAUACCUGAUGGUAUGAUGAGAUUGCAUGAUAUCAUCAUUAAAGAUUCAUCGGUGUACGAUGAGGAUGCGUUCCAUUAGGUAGUAGGCGGGGUAACGGCCCACCUAGCCUACGAUGGAUAGGGGUUCUGAGAGGAAGGUCCCCCACAUUGGAACUGAGACACGGUCCAAACUCCUACGGGAGGCAGCAGUGAGGAAUAUUGGUCAAUGGACGAGAGUCUGAACCAGCCAAGUAGCGUGAAGGAUGAAGGUCCUACGGAUUGUAAACUUCUUUUAUAAGGGAAUAAAACCUCCCACGUGUGGGAGCUUGUAUGUACCUUAUGAAUAAGCAUCGGCUAACUCCGUGCCAGCAGCCGCGGUAAUACGGAGGAUGCGAGCGUUAUCCGGAUUUAUUGGGUUUAAAGGGAGCGCA
rnacentral:rRNA from 1 species